CAAAAAGUCUCAUCGUGACAAGGUUAAAAGUCUCAUCUAACCCUAAACUCUUUUAAACCAAAUACAAAAAAACCCUACUCUUACCUUCUCUUUCUUCAACGAUAUUAUAACAAGCCUCCAAUUCAAGAACAAGGCUUGAAUUGCAUAAAGCUUUAAAAAUCUUUGUAUAUUCCUGAAUCGUAACCAUCAGUGGUUGACUCUCUUUGCCAAUCAUCUGGGAUUCCUUGGAAUGGGGUGAGAGCUUGCUAGAAUUUUCGAUAUUACCAAGCUUUUUGAUCAAUUCUCUGAUGACGAAGUUGUCGUUUGAGAUGUUCGGUAACUAUAAGACUAUCUUGGAGGGUGUUGCGGCGACUGCUAAGCUCGGCGACAAUGGGAAUAAGAGAGUUGUGGUGUAUGUGAAAUCUGGUAUUUAUAACAAAUAUGUGGAAAUUGGAUGAAGUUGACGAUCGGUGAGGCACGCGAUGAGAUCAAGUUUUUGGACGGAGUUGUGUUGAUUUUUUCUAAAAUGGUCAAAUACAGGUAUAUAUAGAGAUGGUCAACCUCCAAGAUUUCUUUUUGGUUCUUCGUAUAUCAAUAUCAGCGAUCCUAAUGCCACUCCCAAUUGACUCAUUCCAAUGAUUCUGAAGCCUCCACAAGAAAAUGGCCAGCAUCCCACUCCCAAUCGAGAUUAGCAAUCAACUCCAAUCACCUAAGAUCGCUGCCCCAGUUUGGUUCUUCGCCUAAGAUAUUGUUCCUUUGUCAAAUUCACACAAAAGCCCUAAAUCAUCAAAUCUUCUUCUGCUCAACUUGGGUCCUCUGCCCAACCCCACUUCGUCGAUUCAUUGGCUUCAGGUAUUUUGUUAUUUUUCAUUUCUAGAAAUUUCAGUUAAUAUACAAAUGAGUUAAGAUUCUCGUACGUAUGUAGGAAAAAUGAAGUUUAAUUUUGUACAAUUGAUUUCUCAAAUCAAUUAUAAGAUAAUCUUUGUUUUCAAGUUUAUGGUAUGUUUUCCCUAAAAAAAAACCAGUUAGAGAAAAUAGCAUGCUUACAGUAGACCCUUCACAUCUCUGCCUUUUAAAAUUAAGGUGAAUUUGGUUGAUUUUUUCUAGGUUUAUUUCAUUCAUUAUAUGUUUGAUUUUAUUGGCUAAUAGUGUCUAAAAUUAUUUUAGGGUGUAUUGGAAGUUCUUGUGAAAUUGAAGAUUAUAGGGUGGGUGUCGUGUGGUUGGUGAAUUGGGUCUCUGAUCAAGAAGAUUGCCACGAUUUUAAUUAAGCCAUUUGCCAGACUUGAGUGCCUAAGAACAUUUUGGCUGUAAUUCUUGUGAAUGAUGGAUUGUGGAUUACAUGAAUUGUGAUGACUUUUAAUAAAUUAUUAACAAUUAUUAAAAGUUAAUAAUUGAGAAAAACAGACUUAUUUUCUUUGAUAAUUCAUUUGAGAAAGGAGAACAAAUGAAAAUUACAAAUAAAAAUCAAAAUAGGUUGCUGGAGUCUCAAAAUAAUGGAGACAAUCUUGCUAUACAUUUUAUUUAUUUAUUUAUAUUUGAUGAAGAUAUAGAAGACUGUUAAAUCUUAGAUUGAUCAUUUUGGACAUCGGGAUGAGAAUCUAAAUUAUGCAAUCAUUUUUUUUUUUUUUGACGAGACUAAAUUAUGCAAUCAUUGAUUCAAAUGUUAACGUCAAACACCAUAAUAGAGAUAACACUAUUUUUCGUCAUUGUAAUAUGUUUUAUUUAAUUAAUUCUCUCUUUUUCUUUUACGGAGCUGAGAGCUUUUUUUCCCUUGGGAAGUUUAUGUAUUUCUCUAUUUUCAUCAAUGUUGCCUUAUUAUAGUUGACAAACAAGGUGGUAGUGACAAUAACCAGGUAUGUCUACCAUUGCUUUAGCUAUACUAAUUUGCAAUGACAUAUACAUUUGUUUGAAAAGCUUGCUUGGCAGCUGUCUUAGUUUUCUUAACACUCUUUCUUAACAAAAUUUAAGAUGGCUAUAAGAUGCUGUAGAGAAGCAAUCAUUUAUAGUCAACGAAAAUUAUAAAAAUAUUGGUACAAGUUUUAUAUCCUUACUCUUAAUUUUUAUUGUUUCUUAAUUUUUAUUGUUUGCAGAAUUGGACAUUUAAAUUUGGUUUAUGAAUUAUAACUAUAGUUAAAUAAUGAUGGAGAGCUAGCCUGGACUAAAUGAUGGAGAUGAAAUAGCAGAUACACUGGGCACAAAAAAAAUCGUUAGAGGGGAAGCAUAUCCAAAUUGUUCAUGGAUUUAUGGCAAUCUUAUCAAAAUAGAUGCUUCAGGUUGGCAAGCUUGUAUUUUACAGCACGAGUGUGAUGAUUUAGAGAGAACUCUUAAUGCUGAUACAAUGGUGCCUAGAACAUUCAGGACUGUAGAAAACUUAGAUUUGCCUCUACCAAAUGAAUGCCCCAAAUCAUUUUGAGAAAAAUUUACAUAAUUUGAUGCAAGGGGAUAAAGAUUGAGUUUCACAUAUAUUUUGCUUGGAUUCUUGUACUCCUUCUUUGUGCAAGUUUGUACUGUUGUAUAUCAAAAUUCAUUUGUUCUUGAGCAAAAUGUAACCACAUUAGGAAAGUGGCCAUCUCUGCUUAACUCUGAGUGUCAGUUUUCAGCCAUGAAUAACCAGAAAAAGAUCUGAAUGUGUUAGAUACAUUCAGCCUAAAUUUUGUAAUUGGGAUUAUUGUAUAAAUAUAUUUGAAUCAUUAUGAUGUAUAAAAGAGACAUUUUCUCUCUC